AGGUGACCUGACCGCAGAAGCAGUAAGUCUCAGCGUGUUCAGGUGUGAGGCGUGGCUGAGCAGCGAGGCCUGUGAUUUACCGCUCUGGAGGGCACGCCUGAGUGUGAUUAAGGGCCAUGCGUGCAGGGCCCCAAGAUUUACUUCCUUCCUGUUCCAGCGGGGCUACCUGAGGGAAUAAAUAUGAAAAUUGAGGCAACCACUUGCUGGAAAUAGACUCUCUUCCCAAGAGCCCAGCAGGACACCUCCGAUCAAGUGGCUCUGUCUGUGGGCUUCUUCCCUUCAUCUCGUAGUAGCGCAAGAUCUCUGCUUGGGGCUGACUUCUGGGGCUGGUUUUCUCCGUUGCUUCUUCUCUGGGGCUGGGCUCCAGCCACUGAUGAGAUUUACAACCUGUUAUUGUACAAUUCCAGUUGCAUUGCCACUGGGUGCUUCUCAGCCCAACAGAACAAAGUGUUAGC